rnacentral:lncRNA from 1 species
UACUAUUUAAUAGAAGUAAACACAACACAACACAUGGUUUUUGACAUUAUAAAGUGAUCACACAAUUUUAUAUCUAUGUUACAUACAGAUGAUGAAAAAUAUGACUAAAAUUAUCAAGUUUGUUUAUAUUAUGAUCCUAUUUCUUUCCUCAUUUCUUGUUGUAGCUGAAGAUUUUCCUCGUAAGCCUUUUAUCUUUCUUUUUUUAAAAAAAUCUUUACCUCAUGCAUAAUGUUGAUUCCCAUUUUUAACAUUUGUUUUUAUUGUUUGACAUCAUAGCAUUUCAUUAUCCGUGUAACUUUGACUUUAAUUGUCUGUGGAUUGACUGUCCUCUUGGAAAAAAUCCGGCGUGCAAUUUUGGAACGUGUUGUUGCGCACACAGUUAAGUAGAAAAAUAAUUAUUUGUAUCCUAUAGUUUUUAUUUUUCCAUCAUAAUGUUGUUACCAUAAUGAUUUAAUUAUGUUAGGCGAGUGUGUUAAUUAUAUUAUGCAAGUGUUAUCACCUUCGUUGGUUUAUGAUUAUAUAGAGAAGUUUAAGGAUAAGCAUGAUCUAGGUGCUUGAUACACCAUCUAAUUAAGAAACUUAUAAUUGAGGUUUCGAUUACGCUGAAUUAUGGACAAAGUUUGAUACCGAGGUUGUUAUCUUGAGGAGGAUGCUUGUAUAUUGCGUAUAUAAGCUUUUGUGUGCUAUUAUCAUGCAAUGUGAUGUGAUGCAUGCUUGUGAUUGAUAUUGAGCAACCUAGACUUAGAAAAUUGAGGAUAGAACUCAUUCAAUUAAUGUUUAUGACUUAGGCCUAACAAAGCAAGAAUAUUACUCCCUCUAGUCUUUAAUAUAAGAAACAAAAAUAACUUUUCAAAUAUAUAUAUAUUGAGUAACUAAUAUAUUUAAAAAACAAGCUUUCUUUUAUAUUAAGGAUAAGAGGUCAUACUAUGAAGAGUGUGACACAUUACGAGUGAGGCUAUCUAGAAGGAAAAAAAAUUCCCUCCCGUGGGAAUUCCUCAUGUCUCUCAUGUGUGAGGAUCCACAUCAUUAAAAUUAACUUUUAACAAUUAAUCAUUUUUACCAUUUAUUUUCCUAAUUAAGACUAGGAUUACACUGGACCCUCCAUUUGACUGGAGAGGAUCCAGUCUCAUCUAGAAGGGUAUAUGUUUGAUGGUGAGUGACCAAGGUUGAUAAAUGUGAGAAUGAUACUCAUUUUACAUAUGAUUGUAGGGCCCUGUAUAUCCUAGAUAGAAAAUAUCCUAGAUAGACAAGGAUCAGGAUCCUAUGCGGUCAAACGUUUAUGUCUAUUCGAUUUAAAGACCGGAUCUUAAAUUAAAAUAUGACUUUAUCAUGUCAAACGAUCAAAAACAUGUGACUGCACAACUGCAGCUGUCAUCGACUGCAUAGGAUUCUGGUCCAGAUAAACAAUGAUGAUAUUAAUUUGUUUGAUGUAAAGUUUAGAAGGACAUUGCAUGGAAUAUGUAUGUAUGAGACAUGCAUAAUUGUCUUAUGAAAUGUUUAUGCAUGAGGAAAUCAACAUUGAAUUGGAAGCAAAUGACAACAUGGCGGAGACACUAUAGUCUACAUCCUAACGGUCAAAUGUAUUAAGGGAUCAUCUAAGGGAUCCCUCUAAGUUACAAAGACAAGAAUCACUAUUUUCUCUUCGUUAAUUUCAUGUGUGGAUGCAGGUGAAUUUCCAAAUGGUGAUUAAAAUUAAUUGAUGGAUCGAGCUUCGCAUGUGAGAGAGGGAGGAGUCACUAAUUGUGCCUAACUCUAUAUUUUCAUCCUUUAGAUGGUCAAUCUAUCUUAAAGCUCUACUAUCUGAGGAGAAAAUAUUUUCUAUUAUUAUGAUAUAUAUAGUUGCCAAUCAUUAUUCAUUAAUACUUCAUUUGUAUAUGCUUUAGAAUAUCACAAUUACCGGAUUGUUGAGAUUUGAGAAUAUGACAUGCUUAUUUCAAAUAUCAAGAAUGUUUUAAUUCUUGAUGUAAAAUUUGUUAACCCCAUGAAUGCUACACAUAUGCAAAAGUCGAGGAGGAUCGAUCCCAACUAUUUAGAGGCUCUAUUUAAAUAUUAAGAAUGAACGUCUAAUGAAAAAAACAUAAUUUUUUUUGUAAAGAGUCAUUCUCUAUUUAAAUUAUAAAUAACAUAAAAAAUAUAUCAAAAGUAGUCAUAAUACUCUAAUAAAUAAUAUCCAGGUUUAAAACACAUCUUAAAGCUAAUAUUAUUAUCAACUUUCUACUAAUGUUACUU